GAUGAACGCUGGCGGCGUGCCUAAUACAUGCAAGUCGAGCGAACAGACGAGGAGCUUGCUCCUCUGACGUUAACGGCGGACGGGUGAGUAACACGUGGAUAACCUACCUAUAAGACUGGGAUAACUUCGGGAAACCGGAGCUAAUACCGGAUAAUAUAUUGAACCGCAUGGUUCAAUAGUGAAAGACGGUUUUGCUGUCACUUAUAGAUGGAUCCGCGCCGCAUUAGCUAGUUGGUAAGGUAACGGCUUACCAAGGCAACGAUGCGUAGCCGACCUGAGAGGGUGAUCGGCCACACUGGAACUGAGACACGGUCCAGACUCCUACGGGGGGCAGCAGUAGGGAAUCUUCCGCAAUGGGCGAAAGCCUGACGGGGCAACGCCGCGUGAGUGAGGAAGGUCUUCGGAUCGUAAAACUCUGUUAUUAGGGAAGAACAAAUGUGUAAGUAACUAUGCACGUCUUGACGGUACCUAAUCAGAAAGCCACGGCUAACUACGUG
rnacentral:rRNA from 1 species